AUUCAGAGCGCGCGAGAGGAGCAUUUUUCAAGCGCGAGUUCUCUCACUUCAUCUGAGAAUAAUGAAUGCCAAUAGCGCUACAGGUGUCAACACAAUGUGAUCAUCAGAUUCCAAACAAAGAUUACCUGUACUCUGCUGAAGUGUGCUGACAAGAAGGAAGAUUGAGCAGGAGCAAAGAUCCUAAUUUUCCAGAAUAUUUGGCCAUUGUGUACAAUGUACAGAACCACAACGUUUGUGGCAGACGCCCUCAGGCAUAGGGAUGUGGGGGCCAAAGCCAUAGAGACACUGACCCAGCUCUUUGAAAUCGGGCACUCCCCCUCAUCUGCCCUGACGGUCCUGAAGAACGACCUGCAGAUUUAGUACAGAGAGGACUACAUCUUCACCUCUGUCGAGACCUCCAGUUCUGUUACCGAAAUUCGGCUUGUCACCAAAAGCAGUCACAAACUUCUACAGAUGCACAAUCGAG